AUACGUAGGGGGCGAGCGUUGUCCGGAAUGAUUGGGCGUAAAGGGCGCGUAGGCGGCCGCUUAAGUCUGGAGUGAAAGUCCUGUUUUCAAGAUGGGAAUUGCUUUGGAUACUGGGGGGCUUGAGUGCAGGAGAGGUUAUCGGAAUUCCCGGUGUAGCGGUGAAAUGCGUAGAGAUCGGGAGGAACACCAGUGGCGAAGGCGGGUAACUGGACUGCAACUGACGCUGAGGCGCGAAAGUGUGGGGAGCAAACAGGAUUAGAUACCCUGGUAGUCCGCACUGUAAACGAUGAAUGCUAGGUGUAAGAGGUAUCGACCCCUUUUGUGCCGGAGUCAACACAAUAAGCAUUCCGCCUGGGGAGUACGGCCGCAAGGUUGAAACUCAAAGGAAUUGGCGGGG
rnacentral:rRNA from 1 species